GCCUAGUUAGCUUAGUUGGUAGUGCGUCCGCCUUGUAAGCGCUAGGCCGCGGGUUCGAUUCCCGCCCGAGGCG
rnacentral:tRNA from 1 species